rnacentral:rRNA from 1 species
GAUGAACGCUGGCGGCGUGCCUAAUACAUGCAAGUCGAGCGAACAGACGAGGAGCUUGCUCCUCUGACGUUAGCGGCGGACGGGUGAGUAACACGUGGAUAACCUACCUAUAAGACUGGGAUAACUUCGGGAAACCGGAGCUAAUACCGGAUAAUAUAUUGAACCGCAUGGUUCAAUAGUGAAAGACGGUUUUGCUGUCACUUAUAGAUGGAUCCGCGCCGCAUUAGCUAGUUGGUAAGGUAACGGCUUACCAAGGCAACGAUGCGUAGCCGACCUGAGAGGGUGAUCGGCCACACUGGAGCUGAGACACGGUCCAGACUCCUACGGGAGGCAGCAGUAGGGAAUCUUCCGCAGUGGGCGGAAGCCUGACGGAGCAACGCCGCGUGAGUGAUGAAGGUCUUCGGAUCGUAAAACUCUGUUAUUAGGGAAGAACAGAUUUGUAAGUAACUAUGCACGUCUUGACGGUACCUAGUCAGAAAGCCACGGCUAACUACGUG